AGUGAACGCUGGCGGUAGGCCUAACACAUGCAAGUCGAACGGCAGCACAGUAAGAGCUUGCUCUUACGGGUGGCGAGUGGCGGACGGGUGAGGAAUACAUCGGAAUCUACUUUUUCGUGGGGGAUAACGUAGGGAAACUUACGCUAAUACCGCAUCCGACCUACGGGUGAAAGCAGGGGACCUUCGGACCUUGCGCGAUUGAAUGAGCCGAUGCCGGAUUAGUUAGUUGGCGGGGUAAAGGCCCACCAAGGCGACGACCCGUAGCCGGUCUGAGCGGAUGAUCAGCCACACUAGAACUGAGACACGGUCCAGACUCCUACGGGAGGCAGCAGUGGGGAAUAUUGGACAAUGGGCGCAAGCCUGACCCAGCCAUACCGCGUGGGUGAAGAAGGCCUUCGGGUUGUAAAGCCCUUUUGUUGGGAAAGAAAAGCAGCAGGUUAAUACCCCGCUGUUCUGACGGUACCCAAAGAAUAAGCACCGGCUAACUUCGUG
rnacentral:rRNA from 1 species